rnacentral:sRNA from 1 species
CCUAAGGAUGAAUGGUCCCAAAUCCCCUAAGCAAUAUCCCAUCUCCUCUGUUGAGUGAUCUCACAUCCAUUGACAAGUGCCUUAAUCUCUGACCAAUAGCCCAAGAGUCAAUGUUCCCACCUCUUAGAGAACCACAACCACACCCCAGUGCCCAGUAGCCAGGCAUCACCCACCCAUGGUCCCCAUCCCUUCCCAUCUUCUCAAGCCUCUGUCCAACUCUUGCUCCCAGAAAUUCAUUCUCAUACCUCUAGCUCUGAAGUGUGCAGCUGGGUCUUACCCAGCAGCUUCCCCACCACCAGAGAGUCUGGGUAACCAGAAGCCCUUCCCACUUUCUAGGUUUGGCCGUCGUGGGAUUGUGCUGCUGACCUUGGGGCUGGUGGGCCCCUGUGGAGUAGGAGGGGCUGCUGCAGGCUCCUCCACAGGCGUCAUGGCCCUCCGAUUCCUCCUAGGCUUUCUGCUUGCCGGUGUUGACCUGGGUGUCUACCUGAUGCGCCUGGAGCUGUGCGACCCAACCCAGAGGCUUCGGGUGGCCCUGGCAGGGGAGUUGGUGGGGGUGGGAGGGCACUUCCUGUUCCUGGGCCUGGCACUUGUCUCUAAGGAUUGGCGAUUCCUACAGCGAAUGAUCACCGCUCCCUGCAUCCUCUUCCUGUUUUAUGGCUGGCCUGGUUUGUUCCUGGAGUCCGCACGGUGGCUGAUAGUGAAGCGGCAGAUCGAGGAGGCUCAGUCUGUGCUGAGGAUCCUGGCUGAGCGAAACCGGCCCCAUGGGCAGAUGCUGGGGGAGGAGGCCCAGGAGGCCCUGCAGGCUUCAUUGCCCAUGCCAUUCGCCACUGCUACCAGCCUGUGGGAGGAGGAGGGAGCCCAUCGGACUUCUACCUGUGCUCUCUGCUGGCCAGCGGCACCGCAGCCCUGGCCUGUGUCUUCCUGGGGGUCACCGUGGACCGAUUUGGCCGCCGGGGCAUCCUGCUUCUCUCUAUGACCCUUACCGGCAUUGCUUCCCUGGUCCUGCUGGGCCUGUGGGAUUAUCUGAACGAGGCUGCCAUCACCACGUUCUCUGUCCUUGGGCUCUUCUCCUCCCAAGCUGCCGCCAUCCUCAGCACCCUCCUUGCUGCUGAGGUCAUCCCCACCACUGUCCGGGGCCGUGGCCUGGGCCUGAUCAUGGCUCUAGGGGCGCUUGGAGGGCUGAGCGGCCCGGCCCAGCGCCUCCACAUGGGCCAUGGAGCCUUCCUGCAGCACGUGGUGCUGGCGGCCUGCGCCCUCCUCUGCAUUCUCAGCAUUAUGCUGCUGCCGGAGACCAAGCGCAAGCUCCUGCCCGAGGUGCUCCGGGACGGGGAGCUGUGUCGCCGGCCUUCCCUGCUGCGGCAGCCACCCCCUACCCGCUGUGACCACGUCCCGCUGCUUGCCACCCCCAACGCUGCCCUCUGAGCGGCCUCUGAGUACCCUGGCGGGAGGCUGGCCCACACAGAAAAGUGGCAAGAAGAUCGGGAAGACUGAGUAGGGAAGGCAGGGCUGCCCAGAAGGCUCAGAGGCACCUCACGCCAGCCAUCGCGGAGAGCUCAGAGGGCCGUCCCCACCCUGCCUCCUCCCUGCUGCUUUGCAUUCACUUCCUUGGCCAGAGUCAGGGGACAGGGAGAGAGCUCCACGCUGUAACCACUGGGUCUGGGCUCCAUCCUGCGCCCAAAGACAUCCUCCCAGACCUCAUUAUUUCUUGCUCUAUCAUUCUGUUUCAAUAAAGACAUUUGGAAUAAA